rnacentral:rRNA from 1 species
AGAACGAACGCUGGCGGCAGGCUUAACACAUGCAAGUCGAACGCGUGUAGCAAUACACGAGUGGCGCACGGGUGAGUAACGCGUGGAUAUCUGCCUUUUGGUUCGGAAUAACCCCGGGAAACUGGGGCUAAUACCGGAUGGUUCCUACGGGAUAAAGAUUUAUCGCCAAAAGAUGAGUCCGCGUCCGAUUAGCUAGUUGGUGGGGUAAUGGCCUACCAAGGCGACGAUCGGUAGCUGGUCUGAGAGGACGAUCAGCCACACUGGGACUGAGACACGGCCCAGACUCCUACGGGAGGCAGCAGUGGGGAAUAUUGGACAAUGGGGGCAACCCUGAUCCAGCCAUGCCGCGUGAGUGAUGAAGGCCUUCGGGUUGUAAAGCUCUUUUGGCGGGGACGAUGAUGACGGUACCCGCAGAAUAGCCCCGGCUAACUUCGUGCCAGCAGCCGC